rnacentral:rRNA from 1 species
GUGUGUUCCAGGUAAAUCCGGUUCACUUUAACACUGAGGCGUGAUGACGAGGCACUACGGUGCUGAAGCAACAAAUGCCCUGCUUCCAGGAAAAGCCUCUAAGCAUCAGGUAACAUCAAAUCGUACCCCAAACCGACACAGGUGGUCAGGUAGAGAAUACCAAGGCGCUUGAGAGAACUCGGGUGAAGGAACUAGGCAAAAUGGUGCCGUAACUUCGGGAGAAGGCACGCUGACACGUAGGUGAAGUGAUUUACUCAUGGAGCUGAAGUCAGUCGAAGAUACCAGCUGGCUGCAACUGUUUAUUAAAAACACAGCACUGUGCAAACACGAAAGUGGACGUAUACGGUGUGACGCCUGCCCGGUGCCGGAAGGUUAAUUGAUGGGGUCAGCGCAAGCGAAGCUCCUGAUCGAAGCCCCGGUAAACGGCGGCCGUAACUAUAACGGUCCUAAGGUAGCGAAAUUCCUUGUCGGGUAAGUUCCGACCUGCACGAAUGGCGUAAUGAUGGCCAGGCUGUCUCCACCCGAGACUCAGUGAAAUUGAACUCGCUGUGAAGAUGCAGUGUACCCGCGGCAAGACGGAAAGACCCCGUGAACCUUUACUAUAGCUUGACACUGAACAUUGAGCCUUGAUGUGUAGGAUAGGUGGGAGGCUUUGAAGUGUGGACGCCAGUCUGCAUGGAGCCGACCUUGAAAUACCACCCUUUAAUGUUUGAUGUUCUAACGUGGACCCGUAAUCCGGGUUGCGGACAGUGUCUGGUGGGUAGUUUGACUGGGGCGGUCUCCUCCUAAAGAGUAACGGAGGAGCACGAAGGUUGGCUAAUCCUGGUCGGACAUCAGGAGGUUAGUGCAAUGGCAUAAGCCAGCUUGACUGCGAGCGUGACGGCGCGAGCAGGUGCGAAAGCAGGUCAUAGUGAUCCGGUGGUUCUGAAUGGAAGGGCCAUCGCUCAACGGAUAAAAGGUACUCCGGGGAUAACAGGCUGAUACCGCCCAAGAGUUCAUAUCGACGGCGGUGUUUGGCACCUCGAUGUCGGCUCAUCACAUCCUGGGGCUGAAGUAGGUCCCAAGGGUAUGGCUGUUCGCCAUUUAAAGUGGUACGCGAGCUGGGUUUAGAACGUCGUGAGACAGUUCGGUCCCUAUCUGCCGUGGGCGCUGGAGAACUGAGGGGGGCUGCUCCUAGUACGAGAGGACCGGAGUGGACGCAUCACUGGUGUUCGGGUUGUCAUGCCAAUGGCACUGCCCGGUAGCUAAAUGCGGAAGAGAUAAGUGCUGAAAGCAUCUAAGCACGAAACUUGCCCCGA